rnacentral:rRNA from 1 species
ACGGGAGCAGCAGUGGGGAAUAUUGCACAAUGGGGGAAACCCUGAUGCAGCGACGCCGCGUGAGUGAAGAAGUUAUUCGUAAUGUAAAGCUCUAUCAGCAGGGAAGAAAAUGACGGUACCUGACUAAGAAGCCCCGGCUAACUACGUGCCAGCAGCCGCGGUAAUACGUAGGGGGCAAGCGUUAUCCGGAUUUACUGGGUGUAAAGGGAGCGCAGACGGCUUUGCAAGUCUGAUGUGAAAGGCAGGGGCUCAACUCCUGGACUGCAUUGGAAACUGUAGGGCUAGAGUGUCGGAGAGGUAAGCGGAAUUCCUAGUGUAGCGGUGAAAUGCGUAGAUAUUAGGAGGAACACCAGUGGCGAAGGCGGCUUACUGGACGAUAACUGACGUUGAGGCUCGAAAGCGUGGGGAGCAAACAGGAUUAGAUACCCUGGUA